rnacentral:rRNA from 1 species
CAGCAGCCACGGGAAUACGGAGGGUGCAAGCGUUAAUCGGAAUUACUGGGCGUAAAGCGCACGCAGGCGGUCUGUCAAGUCAGAUGUGAAAUCCCCGGGCUUAACCUGGGAACUGCAUUUGAAACUGGCAGGCUAGAGUCUUGUAGAGGGGGGUAGAAUUCCAGGUGUAGCGGUGAAAUGCGUAGAGAUCUGGAGGAAUACCGGUGGCGAAGGCGGCCCCCUGGACAAAGACUGACGCUCAGGUGCGAAAGCGUGGGGAGCAAACAGGAUUAGAGACCCGUGUAGUCCCUGUCUCUUAUAA